AUUGAACGCUGGCGGCAUGCUUUACACAUGCAAGUCGAACGGCAGCACGGGCUUCGGCCUGGUGGCGAGUGGCGAACGGGUGAGUAAUACAUCGGAACGUACCCAGAAGUGGGGGAUAACGCAGCGAAAGUUGCGCUAAUACCGCAUACGUUCUACGGAAGAAAGUGGGGGAUCUUCGGACCUCAUGCUUUUGGAGCGGCCGAUGUCUGAUUAGCUAGUUGGUGGGGUAAAGGCUCACCAAGGCGACGAUCAGUAUCUGGUCUGAGAGGACGACGAGCCACACUGGAACUGGGACACGGUCCAGACUCCUACGGGAGGCAGCAGUGGGGAAUUUUGGACAAUGGGCGCAAGCCUGAUUCAGCAAUGCCGCGUGAGUGAAGAAGGCCUUCGGGUUGUAAAGCUCUUUUGUCAGGGAAGAAACGGCUCUAGCUAAUAUCUGGGGCUAAUGACGGUACCUGAAGAAUAAGCACCGGCUAACUACGUGCCAGCAGCCGCGGUAAAAC
rnacentral:rRNA from 1 species